rnacentral:rRNA from 1 species
AGAGUUUGAUCCUGGCUCAGGAUGAACGCUGGCGGCGUGCCUAACACAUGCAAGUCGAACGAGAAGCUAACUUCUGAUUCCUUCGGGAUGAUGAGGUUAGCAGAAAGUGGCGAACGGGUGAGUAACGCGUGGGUAAUCUACCCUGUAAGUGGGGGAUAACCCUCCGAAAGGAGGGCUAAUACCGCAUAAUAUCUUCACUUCUACAAGAAGAGAAGAUUAAAGAUGGCCUCUAUACUAUGCUAUCGCUUCAGGAUGAGCCUGCGUCCUAUUAGUUAGUUGGUGGGGUAAUGGGCCUACCAAGACCACAAUGGGUGGCCGGUCUGAGAGGAUGUACGGCCACACUGGGACUGAGAUACGGUACGGCCCAGACUCCUACGGGAGGCAGCAGUGGGGAAUAUUGCGCAAUGGGGGAAACCCUGACGCAGCGACGCCGCGUGGAUGAUGAAGGCCCUUGGGUUGUAAAAUCCUGUUCUGGGGGAAGAAAGCUUAAGAGUCUAAUAAACCCUUUAAGCCUGACGGUACCCCAAGAGAAAGCUCCGGCUAAUUAUGUGCCAGCAGCCGCGGUAAUACAUAAGGAGCAAGCGUUAUCC